GGCCUGAUAGUGUAGUGGGUAACACGUCUGCUUUACAUAAGAUUCUGAUGCCAUUUCAGCAGAAGUCCCUCGUUCGAUUCGGGGUCAGGCCG